UGGAAAUGGUCUGGGCUGAGUCCGGUUUUAGUGGGCUGGUUUUGUUAUUUGGGCUCAAUUGGUUCGGUGUCUAGUGGACCUACAUGCCUAGUGGGCUGGUUUGGUUUGGUUUUUCUUUUUUAGUAAUUUGAUUCGGUGCGUUUCGGUCCAACCCAAACAAACCAAUCCCCUAAUCGCCGAACUCCCAGUGCGCCGCCGCUGGAGGGCUCAUGCUUGCCCCCAUCUUACCGGCGCUCUCGCCGGCCGCUGCUAGGGCCGCCGCCCCGUCACUGCGGUCGUGGCUCAUGCUUGGCCCCAUCUUGCCGGCGCCCCCGCCAGCCGCUGCUAGGGCCUCCACCCCGCCGCCGCGGCGUUCGCUGUCGAGCAGCGUGUUCUACGCGCAUCCAAGCCUGACGCCGCAGCUGCGCUCGGCGCGGCCGCGGCCGCGCCGCAGCACCGGGUCCGCGCCGCCCCCCGCUGCGUGGGGCCUAUUUCGCCUCGGCGUCGUCGGCGCCCCGGACGUGUACCCGCCGCCGCGCCCCGCAGAGGCCAAGAUCGCUGCCGUCGGGGUUCGUGAUUGCCCCCAUCUUGCUGGUGCCGCCGCUCCCCCGCUGCCGAGAGGCUCGUGCGCUCGCAUCGCCGGCGCCACGUCCCAUCCAUCCUCUCUAGGCGCCACCUUCGCAUCUGGACAUCUGCAGCCAUGAAGCUGUUGCACACCCGCCGGCCGGAAGCUAAUAGUCAACAUGCAGCGUCGUCAGGAGCACACCCGCCGGCCCGAAGCUGUUGCAUGGGGAGUGGGGUGAAACCGUGGUUUGAAAAGUGGUUUGGCAAAAAUGAUAUUGCAGUCUAGUUUAAAUUAAUUUUGGAAGAUGGUGGUCUGGGGUGGUGUGGAGUGUAAAACAUAUAUCAUCAAAGUGGAUUGGUUUGGUUUUGGGCCGGUUCCCCAGACCACUCCCAGGCAGGGUUUUUUAUCCCGACCGGUUAACCCAAACCGCCGGCCACCGGUUCCGGUUUACCGGACCGGUUGGACCGGUAACCGGUGGAAACCGGUUGAAUUCAAAUCCAAAUUCAAAUAAAUUCAAAAACUCCCGUGCAAUCGGUUCCGACCGGUUUACCGGCCGGUUUGACCGGUUUACCGGUUUACCGGUCGGUUUUACCGGUUUGAAUUCAAAUUCAAAUUCAAAAGCUCCCGUGCAACCGGUUUACCGGUCGGUUUGACCGGUUUACCGACCGGUUUUACCGGUUUACCGGCCGGUUUGACCGGUUUGCCUGGUGGGCCUUAAUGGGCCGGCCCAUUUUUUCUUUUUAUUUUUUUGAUUUAACUUCAACUCCCCGCAAACUAUACUAAAUGAACGAAUUUUUGAGAAAAUUUAACACCAUUAGAUUCGUUGCACCUUAAAGUAUUUUUAGGAAUUUUUUGAGAUUUUUCCAUUUUUUGGAAUUCAAAUUUAAAAUUUGAAUUUUGGACCGGUUUCUAACCGGCCGGAACUGGAACCGGUCCGGGCCGGUAAGACCGGUAACCGCGGUAGCCGGACCGGUUCCGACCGGUUUUUUUUACCCUGCUCCCAGGUUGACCUGGAUGGAGGUUCUGGAGAACGGCAGCACAACGCUGGACUUCUAGCUGGUUUGCUCUUUCUCAUCUUAAGCAACCGAUCUCAGGUCUUCUUCAGUUCGCAAAUUUUUUUAGGUUUUUAUAUUACAGUACUUUCGUUGUUAUUUGACAAUUAAUGUCCAAUUAUAAAUUAAUUAAACUUAAAAGAUUUAUCUAAUCAUUUACCGUUAAACUGUGUAAUUAGUUAUUUUUUUAACUGCAUUUAAUGCUCCAUGCAAAUGUUCGAAGAUUCGAUGUGAUGGGUACCGUAGAAAAAGUUUUUAGAACUAAACAUGGCCGUUGAACAUCUAUUUAGAAAAGCUAAAUCGGCUGCCCAAAACAACUGCACCGGAGUAGUAUCAAGGCACCAGUUUUCAUCCUCCAGUGGAGACCAAACAUAGAAAACAUCAUUUCCAGAGACGCAAGAGAACCCGUUUCAGCGCGACAAGUUAGAACAGUAUGCAAGAUUCAAGCCGCAUCAGAACCAGAUCACAGCUUACUCGGAUCCUGCAUCGACAAAAACAUCUUCGCCGCUGAAAUACUUUGGUUACAGCGUCAUUCGCGUCUCGCAAUUCCUAUCCCCCAAGCAUAAACUGCGACUAACAGCUGACAGCCUACUUCUGACAUUAGUAACAUGACCCGCCAUACACACACCCUUCCGUUCAGACAAUCAGGCAUCGGAGCAGGAUGGGACCAGAGACGCUCGGCUGAGUUCUAGUGUCGCUUCCAGCUUCCAUGCCAUGGCUCCCUCGCUCCUCCCAGUGAGGUCAGCUGGGGCGCCACCGCGUCGGGCUCCACAACAAACCUGCCAUGCCACGCGGCGUCCUCCUGCCACUGGGCGCCGGACCGCCAGCCAGGCCACCCAGAUUGAGCUUCGGCGGGGUGCAACAUGUGGUGAUCCCAGGGCUGCUGCACGGCCAUGGCAUGUUGCUGAGGCAGACGGCCAUAAGCAUGGGACACGGGGCUUGACAGCUGCGGACUUACCAUUACAUGCUGCUGCAUCGGGCUAUACCGGUGAGCACUGUGUCUUGGAUCCCACUCUGGAAAGUCCUCCUCACCACCCCAAGGAUGCGGUGAGGCGUACAUGCUGCUAUACUUGUGAACUAGUCGCCUGACCUGGUCGAUUGAGGGAGAAAUAGCCUGCACAUGCUGCUGCCUCUGGUAGCGCUGUGGCGCUGCGACAUUGGGAGAUCCGUCUGAGACGCUGACAAAAUCAUAUUCAGGAAGGUCAUCAUCUUCCUUGAUGACACCGUGGCCAAAGCCUGGGGGAACGACGUCAGUUGCGUCAUCCUUAAGGCGAGGGCGCUCGUUGGAGUAGCCAAAAUGAGAGGCAGGAGACCUGGUACGCAGAGAAGACAUCGGCACUGAACUUGCAAGCACAGCCUGCUGCUUCCUUGAGAUUGACAUAGGCUGCCUCUUAGAACCGUCAUGCUUUGUGGGUGUUUCAGUAGAAAUGCGGGGCCUUCUCCACACAAAGACACCAAUUACAGAUACUCCAGUCAUGGUUUGACUGCCCGAGUGCUCCUUUGGCAGGUGCUCAGUGAGUAUCUGAGCUGCCUUCCCUUGAGAAGGGCAGAGGUAGAGCUCAACCCCUUCAGCGAGCUUUACUAGUCCUACUCUCUCAUCUGCAACAUACGAGCCGACUGUCUGCAGGAGAAAAAGAAUUUUUUUAGUAAAUCAGGAGUUCACUAAUAGUGUUAAACUAAACCCAUAUAAUGUGGUAACAGAUGCUAAUAAUAGGGGAGCAGGGACCUGCAGGAAUUGCUGCCAGCCACUCUCAGGAGAACCCUCCUUCAAACGCAACUCAGUUACCUGCAGAACAAGUAACAGUAAAAGGAAAGAACAUAUUCUGAGUAUGUUCAAGAAAACAUACUUUGAGGAGCUAGACUAAAGAAAAGGCUACAGGAAAAUUUUGGUCACCACAUCAGCAUAUCUAUUUAUAUAAAUAGAAAUGCAUGAAUCAUAACCUCUAGAAUUUUAUAUAAACAGCAAUGCAUGACACAUAUCUAUUCAAGAUGUAGUUGAAAGAUUUGAUUGUAGUCACUGGCACUAAGCAUUAAACAUAAUAUACACAAAUCAACAGUGAAGUAUAAAAGAUAGGAGGUUCAAGUCUCAUUAAAAAAUUCUGAAAUUUCUGUUACCAUUUAAAGUGAAAAUCCACAUGCACGAACAAAAAAAAAAUCAAAUUCAAGUAAAGACAGAUGUAACAUGUGAGAUCAGAUAGUACCAUGGCAGUCCAACACUAAGAUAAACAUUUUUCCUUUUUCUUUUCUUUUCUUUUCUUUUUCAUAUAUUAAUUUUUGGAUUAGUUUUACAUUACCAAAUAUAGUGACAAAAGAAAAAUAGAAGUAUACAGUCAAAGUUUGGUAUGUAUCUUUAUUUUCAGCUUCUUUGUAAAAAAAUAGUACUUUUGAGAAAUGCCAGUGCUACAACUUAACACUACCAUGACACUGUAUUUACACCAAGUGUUACUACAAUCAAUAUUAAGCUAUCUCAACACUAUAUUUACCAAAUGUUACUAUGAUCAGUAUUAAACUAAUUCUAACUAGGACCAACCAGGUCUAACAGACAUAUAUUUACUCUUUUGGAAGAAUGUCUGUUGAAGCUUUUGGUCUUUCACUCUUUCUAUGAUUUUCUUUUGUUGCUCCGUAGUCGUACAAGCAAAUUUGCAGGUGCACAUCUGCAAUUGGAGCAUGGUUGUUUGGUUCUUCUUUCUUUCUAUAUUCAAAUUAUGGGGGAUUGAUUACAACCAUAAUUAUCAACUAAAUAUAGAGUCCACCGGUAGCAGUAGAUUAUCCAAUUUAUUAUUUAGUUGUUCCACUUCUGGUUAUAGUCUAUGUACAAUAGCUUAUAUAUGCGCUGCUCUGGCCAGUAAUAGCUUGAUGGAAAACAUGUUAAGCACGUUCUCAGAAAGCAAAAGGCAAAAUUAUGCUACAAAUACAGUAACCAGCAUGCAUGGUAACCAGAAAACAAAACCUAUUUUAACAUGUACAUGGUGUGAAGAACUGAAGAUUAAAAGAAAAGAUACUCCCACAUGCAACACAUGUUGAUUUCACAUGGAUAAAGUACAGUACUAAUAUCCAAUCGUCGAGUUUCUAGAUUCACAGGCUGAGAACAAACUCAAUGAUUUUAAUAAAAAUGAACUUGAGCCUAAACAUAAAUUAUUACAAGCAGAUAAAUAUGCAUUCAAUGGUAUCUUACAAUCAUUGAUUUAGAGGUGGCAGAACAACAGUGUCAUGGCGACUACUACAAGAAGAAUAUGUUUCAAAACCAACAAGCAUGUGGACCAAUUGAUAAGCACUAGUUUUAGUACAAACCAGAAUCAUCCAUUAGAUAUAUAUGAAACAAAGCACAGAAACAAAUUACCAUUACAGCACGGCUCCUGGAUUUAGGCAAUUGUUCAAGAAAUUCUUGAAAAUCAGUAAGCCUCACUCUUCCCUUGAUCUCAACAAAGCGGCGCCACUCAUUUGUUGAUGGCUUUUCACCACUGGAAAAUAGAAACAUAAAUAGUAGUUAGGAUGUGUGAUAUCAGAAUGCUAAAAUGUGUGUUAUGACAAGCAUUUCUGUAAAAUGGAAUACACCAUACAGGUUAUACAUAAAAAGAGGUGUUUACCUCUGUAUAGAUCGUAAUGUUCUUUUGUUUGGUUAAAAAUAUGAAAGUUAUCAACGAUAUUGUUUUCAAUAGUUAAUUGCAUGCAUUAACUAGAAGCGACAUAGGUGAAACAAACCUUUUGAAGAUAGCAACAACUUUUAUAAGUGAAGAUAAAGUUAACUGGAUUGUUCCCUCCCAUAAAGUGUCGUUUGUCAAUGUGGCAUCAGAAAUUGCCUUUAACUGUGCAGGAAAUCCAGAAAUUGAGGCACUAGCAGUACCUAGUUUUUGAACAUCCAUCAUUUCAGGGGAAGAUUUGAUCAACAAGCAGCCCUUAGGUUGUUUAGAUGGACUCAAGUCAUGAAUUGAUCCAUUUUCGGUUGACUUUGUACUGGCCCAACAAUUAUCUUCUGGUGACGGUGCCUCACAUGCCAAUUCAAACUCUGAUGGAUCAGCAUUAUCAUCCCCUAUACGAUUUUUCUCUGGCUUUGACAUAAGGUAAGCUUUGUCAGUAAUACUAGGAUCAUCUUGUGCAGUUUCAGUGGAGUGGCAUUCCAAAGGUAUAUCAGAAUCAGGGGCCUCGACGAACUCAUCCCAUGACAUAAUAUCUGGAAGAUUUUCUGUAUACUUCAAGUCAUGCACCACUCUUUCCUUGAUAAGAUCGGCCUUCUCAUUUGCUAGGCAUUCUGAAUUACUCAAGAGAUUGCUGUUGCCAAUACCAGCAGAUCCAUCUUGCACGGUGCUAUCUGAUUCAAUGUCGCCCCUGUAUACACUUAGUCUAUCGUCAGAUUUGGUUUGAUCUUCAAUAGAUUUUGAUGGAACAUGAGAAAGCAAAUCGCUUCCGAGCUCAGUCCCAACUGAAAUAAUGAAGAACAACCAUCUUUGCAAGUUCUUCAGCUUUAGCCAGCCGCCAAGCUGAAAGCUCCUUUGAAGCGAGUUCGUCUGUAGUCAUUGAACAUAGACAUUUGGGUGUGAUCACUCCGGAUAAGACCUGUUCCCUGAGCACAGGAUUACUUUUGUCUUUCAAGUUAAACAAGAUUGAUCUACCUUUCUCCUUAUAUUUCUUAUUGACUCCUCCAAACAGUUUGAACAGCUGCUCUUCAAUUCCAAGUGCUAAAGAUUGCCCCUUUUGAAUCAUAUCCUUCCUUUUCCCUGUUGUCCCAUCUGAAAUCUUUGUUCUUUUAAACUCAGGCUCAUUCAGAGAUACAGAAGCCCCAACAUCGGUAUCAAAAGUUGUGGCUCUCUUUGAAUUAAGCUGUGAAAUGGAUUCAGAAGGUCCAACAGCAAUGCCAGGAGCACUGAAGGGCCCAUGACCUUGCAAAAGUUCAUCUGAAACAGCAGUGCUGUUACCCAAUAGAACAUUUUCCAAACGGACAUGUAUUGAUUGUUCCUGUGCAUCUUUACUCACUUUUAUGGUCGUGUUUGAUCCCAAAAUUUUACAGCUUAAGAUGUCCUUUUCUUUGCUUC